rnacentral:rRNA from 1 species
GACGAACGCUGGCGGCGUGCUUAACACAUGCAAGUCGAACGGUGAAGCGCCUUCCUUUUUGGUGGGUGUGGUUGAGUGGCGAACGGGUGAGUAACACGUGAGUAACCUGCCCCCUUCUUCUGGAUAACCGCAUGAAAGUGUUGCUAAUACUGGAUAUUCUGGGUCUGUCGCAUGAUGGGUCUGGGAAAGCUAUUGUUUCGGUUGGUGAUGGGCUCGCGGCCUAUCAGCUUGUUGGUGGGGUGAUGGCCUACCAAGGCGGUGACGGGUAGCCGGCCUGAGAGGGUGGACGGUCACAGUGGGAAGGAGACACGGAGAAGACUCCGAGGGGAGGCAGCAGGGGGGAAUAUUGCACAAUGGGCGCAAGCCUGAUGCAGCGACGCCGCGGGAGGGAUGGAGGCCGGCGGGUUGUGAACCUCUUUCGCGAGUGAAGCAGGUCGGCCUCGUUUGUGGGUGGGUUGACAGUAGCUGGAGAAGAAGCGCCGGCUAACUACGUG